CAACAGAAUCUGCAAUCAACUAAUCAACAAUCCUAAGAAAUCACAAUUUUAUUGCGAUUAUGAUGAGUUUAAGUAUUAGAAUACGGGUUUGUGUAUAAUGAUGCAAAUUCUUUUGGCACAUACAAGUUUGUGGUGAAAUAGAAACAUUUAUUACAAAAGAUGAUGUAUUUCUCUACUCAAUAAAUAAAUAAGCAACAA